rnacentral:rRNA from 1 species
CCUACGGGUGGCAGCAGUGAGGAAUAUUGGUCAAUGGGCGCGAGCCUGAACCAGCCAAGUCGCGUGAGGGAUGAAGGUUCUAUGGAUCGUAAACCUCUUUUAUAAGGGAAUAAAGUGUGGGACGUGUCCUAUUUUGUAUGUACCUUAUGAAUAAGGAUCGGCUAACUCCGUGCCAGCAGCCGCGGUAAUACGGAGGAUCCGAGCGUUAUCCGGAUUUAUUGGGUUUAAAGGGUGCGUAGGCGGCUUUUUAAGUCAGCGGUGAAAAUCUGUGGCUCAACCAUAGAAUUGCCGUUGAAACUGGGGGUCUUGAGUAUGUGAGAGGCAGGCGGAAUGCGUGGUGUAGCGGUGAAAUGCUUAGAUAUCACGCAGAACUCCGAUUGCGAAGGCAGCCUGCCAGGCCAUGACUGACGCUGAUGCACGAAAGCGUGGGGAUCAAACAGGAUUAGAUACCCUUGUAGUC